rnacentral:rRNA from 1 species
GGCUCAGGAUGAACGCUGGCGGCGUGCCUAAUACAUGCAAGUCGAGCGAACAGAUGAGAAGCUUGCUUCUCUGAUGUUAGCGGCGGACGGGUGAGUAACACGUGGGUAACCUACCUAUAAGACUGGGAUAACUCCGGGAAACCGGGGCUAAUACCGGAUAAUAUUUUGAACCGCAUGGUUCAAUAGUGAAAGACGGUUUCGGCUGUCACUUAUAGAUGGACCCGCGCCGUAUUAGCUAGUUGGUAAGGUAACGGCUUACCAAGGCGACGAUACGUAGCCGACCUGAGAGGGUGAUCGGCCACACUGGAACUGAGACACGGUCCAGACUCCUACGGGAGGCAGCAGUAGGGAAUCUUCCGCAAUGGGCGAAAGCCUGACGGAGCAACGCCGCGUGAGUGAUGAAGGUCUUCGGAUCGUAAAACUCUGUUGUUAGGGAAGAACAAAUUUGUUAGUAACUGAACAAGUCUGAC